UGAGGAAUUUUGGACAAUGGGGGAAACCCUGAUCCAGCGACGCCGCGUGAGGGAUGAAGGUCUUCGGAUUGUAAACCUCUUUUAUUCGGGAAUAAGAAAUCUAUGGAAACAUAGAGAGUGAAUGUACCGAAUGAAUAAGCCACGGCUAACUUCGUGCCAGCAGCCGCGGUAAUACGAAGGUGGCAAGCGUUACUCGGAAUUACUAGGCGUAAAGGGCAGGUAGGUGGUUUGAUAAGUCUGUUGUGAAAGCUCCUGGCUUAACUGGGAGAGGUCAACAGAAACUAUCAGGCUUGAGUAUGGGAGAGGGUACUGGAAUUCCCGGUGUAGCGGUGAAAUGCGCAGAGAUCGGGAGGAACACCUAUGGCGAAAGCAGGUACCUGGACCAUUACUGACACUCAGCUGCGAAAGCUAGGGGAGCAAACAGGAUUAGAUACCCCCGUAGUCCCUGAGCGGGCUGGCAAGGCGCAU
rnacentral:rRNA from 1 species